rnacentral:rRNA from 1 species
AUUGAACGCUGGCGGCAGGCCUAACACAUGCAAGUCGAGCGGAUGAAGGGAGCUUGCUCCUGGAUUCAGCGGCGGACGGGUGAGUAAUGCCUAGGAAUCUGCCUGGUAGUGGGGGAUAACGUCCGGAAACGGGCGCUAAUACCGCAUACGUCCUGAGGGAGAAAGUGGGGGAUCUUCGGACCUCACGCUAUCAGAUGAGCCUAGGUCGGAUUAGCUAGUUGGUGGGGUAAAGGCCUACCAAGGCGACGAUCCGUAACUGGCCUGAGAGGAUGAUCAGUCACACUGGGAGUGAGACACGGUCCAGACUCCUACGGGAGGCAGCAGGGGGGAAUAUUGGACAAUGGGCGGAAGCCUGAUCCAGCCAUGCCGCGUGUGUGAAGAAGGUCUUCGGAUUGUAAAGCACUUUAAGUUGGGAGGAAGGGCAGUAAGUUAAUACCUUGCUGUUUUGACGUUACCAACAGAAUAAGCACCGGCUAACUUCGUG